UGUGAACUCGAAGAGUAGGGCGGGACACGUGGUAUCCUGUCUGAAUAUGGGGGGACCAUCCUCCAAGGCUAAAUACUCCUGACUGACCGAUAGUGAACCAGUACCGUGAGGGAAAGGCGAAAAGAACCCCGGCGAGGGGAGUGAAAAAGAACCUGAAACCGUGUACGUACAAGCAGUGGGAGCACCUUCGGGUGUGACUGCGUACCUUUUGUAUAAUGGGUCAGCGACUUAUAUUCUGUAGCAAGGUUAACCGUAUAGGGGAGCCGCAGGGAAACCGAGUCUUAACUGGGCGUUAAGUUGCAGGGUAUAGACCCGAAACCCGGUGAUCUAGCCAUGGGCAGGUUGAAGGUUGGGUAACACUAACUGGAGGACCGAACCGACUAAUGUUGAAAAAUUAGCGGAUGACUUGUGGCUGGGGGUGAAAGGCCAAUCAAACCGGGAGAUAGCUGGUUCUCCCCGAAAGCUAUUUAGGUAGCGCCUCGUGAAUUCAUCUUCGGGGGUAGAGCACUGUUUCGGCUAGGGGGUCAUCCCGACUUACCAACCCGAUGCAAACUACGAAUACCGAAGAAUGUUAUCACGGGAGACACACGGCGGGUGCUAACGUCCGUCGUGAAGAGGGAAACAACCCAGACCGCCAGCUAAGGUCCCAAAGUCAUGGUUAAGUGGGAAACGAUGUGGGAAGGCACAGACAGCCAGGAUGUUGGCUUAGAAGCAGCCAUCAUUUAAAGAAAGCGUAAUAGCUCACUGGUCGAGUCGGCCUGCGCGGAAGAUGUAACGGGGCUAAACCAUGCACCGAAGCUGCGGCAGCGACACUAUGUGUUGUUGGGUAGGGGAGCGUUCUGUAAGCCUGCGAAGGUGACCUGUGAGGGUUGCUGGAGGUAUCAGAAGUGCGAAUGCUGACAUAAGUAACGAUAAAGCGGGUGAAAAGCCCGCUCGCCGGAAGACCAAGGGUUCCUGUCCAACGUUAAUCGGGGCAGGGUGAGUCGACCCCUAAGGCGAGGCCGAAAGGCGUAGUCGAUGGGAAACAGGUUAAUAUUCCUGUACUUGGUGUUACUGCGAAGGGGGGACGGAGAAGGCUAUGUUAGCCGGGCGACGGUUGUCCCGGUUUAAGCAUGUAGGCUGAUUGUCCAGGCAAAUCCGGAUAAUCAAGGCUGAGGUGUGAUGACGAGGCACUACGGUGCUGAAGUAACAAAUGCCCUGCUUCCAGGAAAAGCCUCUAAGCAUCAGG
rnacentral:rRNA from 1 species